rnacentral:misc_RNA from 1 species
UUUGGUUUGUUACGGGUGGUUGGCUCUUUGCUUGYGCAACAACUGCCACCUGACUUACCUCUUCAGAUGUUUGCCUAGGCUUGUAUAGCCUAWGCAGAUUGUGGGUUUCCUGUGUUGCCUACCUACGCUAUGGAAUUGUCCUGAUUGAUCAAAGUUGCUUUCGUCUUGUGUCAUCUUGGURGCAUAAGAUGAACCUCGAAGCUGUCUCUUUGCACCGCAUYGUUAAURCUUGCGUUGAUGUUGUGGCCCAUUGAGCAUUGCUUGGUACCUUGGAUACGGAACCUGAUGUGGGCAUGGGUCUUUAGGGAUCCUUGUUCUGCCCUCGUUUAGCGUUCGCGCUUCUCUUAGAAUGACUGCCCAGCCUGUAUGGCAAGCCAUUGCAGAUGGGCAUCGUCAAAGAGGAAUGC